CCUACGGGCGGCAGCAGUAGGGAAUAUUGCUCAAUGGGGGAAACCCUGAAGCAGCAACGCCGCGUGGAGGAUGAAGGUUUUAGGAUUGUAAACUCCUUUUGUGAGAGAAGAUAAUGACGGUAUCUAACGAAUAAGCACCGGCUAACUCCGUGCCAGCAGCCGCGGUAAUACGGAGGGUGCAAGCGUUACUCGGAAUCACUGGGCGUAAAGAGCGCGUAGGCGGGCUUGCAAGUCAGAUGUGAAAUCCUGUAGCUUAACUACAGAACUGCAUUUGAAACUGUGAUUCUAGAGUGUGGGAGAGGGAGGUGGAAUUCUUGGUGUAGGGGUAAAAUCCGUAGAUAUCAAGAGGAAUACUCAUUGCGAAGGCGACCUGCUGGAACAUGACUGACGCUGAUGCACGAAAGCGUGGGGAGCAAACAGGAUUAGAUACCCGAGUAGUC
rnacentral:rRNA from 1 species